rnacentral:lncRNA from 1 species
UAAAACAUAUGGAUUUGGAAUUAGUGGGUUGACAGAGCUAACUAAGGCAAUAGGACCUCCUGACAAUCCUCUUAGCGUUUGAGAAACGUUAGAUUCAUGGCCCUAUAGUUGGUUAAAUAACCGAUAGAGCUUCAGUUUCUUCAGAGAUCCGUUGCUCUAAAGAAAUUAAUUAACAUGACCCCAUCUUUUUUUAGACCAUUGAUGAAAUUCAGAUUUUACUCGAGUGGAUUUGGACUAUUCCAUGUGCAGUCAUGUUGUUCACGAUGAUCCUAUACCGAUUUGAUGCAGAGGAUACAUAUUCACCCAUAGUUGUAGUGAAGGUGUCGAAGUCAUUAACAACAGAUGUCGAACCCCUAUCCUUCAUCUUCUCAGAACCUUCGAACAAGUCUUGAACUGUAUCCUAAAUCACUUUGGCAGAUUUGCCGAAUUUCAUGUGCUCAAAGAGAGAAUGAGGAACACCAAACACUAUUUCAGAGAAUGCAAUCUGAUCUGCAUGGAGCUUCUCAAUGUCGGAUGCGGUUAGAGGUAUUGGACGUUGUCCAUAUUGACCAGAGAGUGCAACAACAACAUCUAUAACCAAUUGUCUAACAGGAACAUGAGGACCUUCUUUCACAAAUCUCCAUAUCACUUAACCUUUUUCCUUACCAAGUAAAAAUCUCUCCAUUCUAAAUUCCCAGUCAUCAUACUCUUCAACAAACAACAAUGGGGGUACGCGUUAAGCAACCCACGCUAUUUGCUAUUUACAUUGAAUACAUAUGUUGAGUUUUAUUAGAAGCAGCCAUUGAAGUUAAAGUAUUAGAGCUGAAGUGGUAUAUAGAAGAAAUUUUAUCCUGAACACAUAAAUGACUUAGAUACCAAGGUUACUUUUGAUGAGGCAUCUACAUCCAAAAAUGUGUAAGAAUGAUAUACUCAAUUUUUGACCAUUCAUGGCUUCGUACGGUAUCAUGUUAAGACGGUGAUUAAUGAUGCUUUGAUUUUGAGUGAAGCAAGUACUAGAGACGAUUUCAGCCCAAAAGAUAGAGAUUAAGGAUUACGAAUUUCAACAUUGAUCGAGCGACUUCAACGAGAGUUCAGUUUCUUCUUUCAACCACACCAUUAUGUUGAGGAGUGUAGGGAGCAUAGAAAUUAUGGUUGAUGUCUUUACCGAAGAGAAAUUUCUCAACGGUUCCAUUAGUGAAUUCAGAGCCUUUGUCACUUCAGAUUCUUCGAACAGGGAGUUUGACAAGAACUUCAAUUCCUUUAAUGAAAUUAAUGAUUUCGGUGGCUAUUUUGGAUUUUUCCCCAUAGAAGAAGACCCAAGUGAACCGUGUGUAGUCAUCAAAAAUCACAAGAAUAUACUUUUUGUAAUGCAAACUUUCUACAGUGGACGGUCCACAAAGAUCGAUACGAAGAAGUUCUAAUGGUUCUGAAAUUAACAUUUCAAUUAUAAUAGGAUGACCUUUCUUGGAUCGCUUCCCACAUUCACACACAACAUAGAGAUGAUCAUUUUCGAAUUUAAGGAGUGGUAGACCUCAGACCAUUUCACCAGAUGCAAGAUCAUUCAUGUAUCAGAAGUUGAGAUGAACGAGCCUCUGAUGCUAUAACCAACUUAUGUCAGGAACGAGCUUUGAAAGAAGAAAAUGUUGAGUUUUUCAGAUGAUCAUGUUGAUGCCUAAGGGUACAUAUUUUUUUAUGCAAUUUGAUUUUAUAAGACAUUCUUUCUGAUCUUUUGUCAUAAUGUUCGUGUGCUUUUUGCAGAAUUCAACUAUAUGGUUUGCAUUAGUGAGUUAAGGCACAUUGAUCAGAUUAUCCUUGAGAUCAGCUACAUACGCCAGAUUAGAGACAGAGAAAUUUCCGUUAGUCAAGACGCCAUAACCUCGAAUUUUUUAUUUUCAAUUGCUUCCAUAUGUCACGUAACCAGCAUUAGGAGCGAGCUUCAGAUCACGCAAAAAAACAUUCUAUGGAAGACUCAUAGGCUCUAUGAAUAACUGUCAUAUAUGAUUGUUUUAAGCAAGAUAAGGUUCACAAAUAGAUAAAUCAAAACAAUUGUCAGUGAUCAUGGAUUUUACUUGCAGGAUGGUGCUUCUACCUGGAGGAUCAUUUGUUUCCAUAUGUAACAAAAGUUAGGCUCAACAUCGUCAUCCUUUACUUCAGAUCUAGAAGACCAGUAUCCUUCAUCACAUUAAAUUCAUUGUAUACCCAUAAGACACACGUUUCUUGACACCAUGGUAGCAAAAUCCUUUUCACUUUCACCUAGUUCUUGUGCUCUAUGAGCAUACUAGAUAGAGUCUUUUACCUUCGGUUUCUAAGAAAUAUAAGCCAAACAGUCCUUUGAAAAGUGCUUUCUAAGACCACAUUUGUGACAGCUAACCUUGGGUUUGACUGGUUUCGGAACAUCCUGAGGUUCCGAGGAAUGAUUUGGAAUGUUGGGUUGGUAAGCUAGUGGAUUUUGUGCUGGUUUAGGAAAGGGUUGAGGAUUGAUUUGAUGAGGAUCUCGACAUCGGUUUGGAAAGGUUUAUGAUUGGGAUUCCAGGGAUGUUUAUACUUCAUAGGAAAAAGUGAAAAGUCUUGUUGAAAGCGAAGUUCAGAAUCAGCUGAGUCGAGAUCAAGAUUAAUUUUCAUCAAUGAAUGGCUUAGAACAGGUGAGAUAGGUGGAGUAGGAAGUGUUGGUUGAACAUGUGAAACGGGUGGGAUGGUUCCUAAAGGAUCUAAAACAUAUGGAUUUGGAAUUAAUGGGUUGACAGAGCUAACUAAGGCAAUAGGACCUCCUGACGAUCCUCUUAGCGUUUGAGAAACGUUAGAUUCAUGGCCCUAUAGUUGGUUAAAUAACUGAUAGAGCUUCAGUUUCUUCAGAGAUCCAUUGCUCUAAAGAAAUUAAUUAACAUGACCCCAUCUUUUUUUAGACCAUUGAUGAAAUUCAGAUUUUACUCGAGUGGAUUUGGACUAUUCCAUGUGCAGUCAUGUUGUUCACGAUGAUCCUAUACUGAUUUGAUGCAGAGGAUACAUAUUCACCCGGAGUUGUAGUGAAGGUGUCAAAAUCAUUAACAACAGAUGUCGAACCCCUAUCCUUCAUCUUCUCAGAACCUUCAAACAAGUCUUGAACUGUAUCCUAAAUCACUUUGGCAAAUUUUCCGGAUUUUAUGUGCUCAAAGAGAGAAUGAGGAACACCAAACACUAUUUUGGAGAAUGCAAUCUGAUCUACAUGGAGCCUCUAAAUGUCGGAUGCGGUUAGAGGAGUUGGAC